rnacentral:rRNA from 1 species
GAUGAACGCUAGCGGCAGGCCUAAUACAUGCGAGCUGAACGGUAAAUAUUGUAGCAAUACAAUAUGAGAGUAGCGUAAGGGUGCGUAACACGUAUGCAAUCUGCCCUGUACAGGAGGAUAGCUCGGGGGAAACCCGGAUUAAUACUCCGUAAUAUUAUUGGGAGGCAUCUCUUGAUAAUUAAAGUCGCUAGACGGUAUGGGAUGAGCAUGCGUCUGAUUAGCUAGUUGGUGGUGUAACGGACCACCAAGGCGAUGAUCAGUAGGGGAACUGAGAGGUUGAUCCCCCACACUGGCACUGAGAUACGGGCCAGACUCCUACGGGAGGCAGCAGUAGGGAAUAUUGGUCAAUGGAUGCAAGUCUGAACCAGCCAUGCCGCGUGCAGGAAGAAGGCCUACUGGGUUGUAAACUGCUUUUGCCGGGGGAUAAAAAGUCCAUGCGUGGACAAUUGAAGGUACCCGGUGAAUAAGCCACGGCUAACUACGUG